AUGGUGUAUCAGACUGGGGGUGAUCCGUCCUCUCUCCUCCUCUCCUCUCUCCUCCUCUCAUCACUCCCGAGCAGCGCGGACACAGAGCGGACAGUCGCCCACAGUACCCGGCUCUGUAGCAGCCGCCUCUGGGCUUAUCUCAUCUCGGCGGAUCGCUCCCGGUGCCGACCCGUACCGGCUUGCCUCUCCCUCCCCGAAUCAUCACACACACAUACACACACACACAAUCACACACACACACACACACACACACACACACACACAAAGGGAGAGACAGAGAUGCGGUCGCUUUUCACUUUUCUUCGCUUCCAAGGAUCUCUCACAUCUUUUUUUGGUGUGUGUGUGGGUUCCUCCGGCGGAUCUUUUGUCUGCGGACGGCGGGGCUGCGGCUGCCAACAGCAGCAGCAGCAACAGCAGAUGUGAUGAGCGAUGCAGCUAAUAGCAUCAUCCUCCCACAGGCCUGAUGCUGAAAAUCCCUACAUUCAUGAGACAGCAACAGGAAGCGGAUUACUGAGGGAUUAAACGCAUUGCACACGUAUGCCCAUUCUAGGAUCUGAAAACCCAACUGUGGGUCUCAAAAUGAAUGAACUCGCCUGACUGACUGACUGACUGAGACCCUCCCUUGGUAUCAUGGAAGAAGAGGAGGAGCCGUCUCAUUGAAUGUAACUCACAGAGCCCCUCCCGUCUCGCUAUCGAAGGCUUUGACUGGUCGAUGAGGAUUACGGAUUUAUAACCAACACAGCAGAGAGAAAAAGAGGGAUAGAGAGAGAGAGAGAGAGAGAGGAGUGCAGAGCAGAGCCGGCUGUCUGCCUGCUGCUGUCCCAUGAUGCAUCUACACAUGUGAGAGCAGGAUCAGCCUCACAGAGGGCUGUUUCUAUGGAUACCCCUGCCCUGGGUUGUAUUAAUAAGACUCACUGAUAUUCUGACUAUCUGUGCGUGAGGAAAAAAAACACAUUAAGAGAGAUUAGAAGUGCAUCCCGGCAGCUGAGGACAGCGCCGUUACGGGGCAGAGAAACGCCUCAAACGUGCCGUGGAUGCUUCACCAACAUGUGUCUGAACCUGUAGCUGCAACGUGGCGGAUUGAUUUCUUCUUCUUCUCCCUUUGAUUUCUCUUCUUUUCCUUUAUUUAUUUUUUUUUCUUUCCCUGGCGUCCCAUUUGUCGCUCCGUGUCUGCGGCUGCGUUCAGGAGAACAGCGGGGUUUGGUUUAAAAAGAGCGAUUUGAUAAGAAUCUGCCCACACAGGACUGGAGGAGGAGGUGAAGAUGAUGCACAAAGACACCUCUGUGGCCAUAGAGGACAAAACUUUUUAUUUAUUUUUUAUUUUUUCUAACCAGCUUGCAAUACUGAGCACACUGAGCACAGCUUGACAUUCUGGAUAAAAUAAUCCUCCUAUAACCUUUGUGGGCCCCCUAAAAAAAACUGCCACCGCCUCUCACCAGACUUGUUAUCGCACUGACAUCCAACAUGCACCAGCUACCAGGAGAAGAUUCAGGUCUCUAGUUCAGACUCCGGACUCACCAGCAAGAUGUAACAUUAAGCGCAAAAGAGAAUUAUAAAGCACUUUUAAACGUAUCUUGAGGUACUUGG
rnacentral:lncRNA from 1 species